GGCGAGCUAAACAGGGGAGAUCCUUCCAAACGAAAAACACGGGACGAAUGCGAGCGAAGCCUCCCUGCCUGCCGGUUGCCGGCCGACCUGGCGCAGCGCAGCCUGCGACGAGUCCACCUCCAGCGACCGAUUUCACCCUCGCUCCACCGCGCCGGCAUCGUCCGCACUCCGCGACAGAUCUCCCCUCUCUCCUUCCUUGGCCAAUCUCCGGUGGCUGCUGCCGCUGCAGCCGUGAACCAGACGCGAGCCGCCGCCUCGACCCUCGUAGCCUCGUGCGCCCGUGGCCUGUUCGACGGAAUUCCCCGCCGGGGCGCCUGGUUCGGCUUCCGGCGCUGAGGAUGCUCUUGCGGGCGUACGUGGGCAUCCUGGCACGCGGAGCCAGGCCCGACGCGUACACGCUCCUGCCAUAAUGCCAUUGCUCAAUGCGCGGUGUGGAGCCGGCUGUCGGACUCCGUUCACGCGCAAGUCGUGGCUAAGUUUGGGCUAGAGCUCAACGCCCGCUUGCCAAAGCUCUCUGGUCCUCAAGGUGAGGAGGCUAUCCAUAUGAUUUACAGAAUGCUCCAGAUGAAGGGGCAGUCAUCAGUGCAUAGCGAAACCAGCCACAGAAGCCACUAAAGGUCAGCCUCGGGAUACCAAGCUCCCUCGCGAUGUCACCAGUCCACCAGUGAAUCAGGUCAGAUAUGAUGCAGCUCGGAGGCGAGCACUGCUGCUCAUGGAGGUAUGCCUUGAGCGGCUCCUGAAGCAUAGCGAUGGCAUACAUGAAGUUGGGGAGAAGAUCCGUGGAUUGGAUCAUGUCUAGGUUCUCGCACCCGUCCGGUAGGCCGAACUCGGCGCUCGGGAAAUGGAGCUCCAUGAGCCGAACUUCCAGGCCCGACGCCUCCACAUCGGCUGCAAAGCCUGCCAACCUGGAGGCGUUCACUGGCGUGGUGAUGAAGCUGACAUGCGCUCCGUGCUCUGCCAGCAGGCGCGCCAUGUCGGUGAUGGGGAUGGUGUGCCCCUGAGCCAACAUCGGUACCAGCACAAAGUGCGCCCUCAUGGAGCCGCUCUGGCCAUCGCCACUGCCCGUGAAGGUCAUGGCUAAUCGGCUGUUGUAGCAAAAGUACUGGUGAUGGAGUCAGUCAAACUGGGAGAACAGUGACACUGGCAAGAUAGCAUGAUCUGCUGGACACAAUCAGAUGAUGGUCACAAUGGCAACUAUAGUGUGUGUAUAUAACACCUGGUGCUAUACCUUCCCAAGGAAAGUUGACGAGCUGACGAUGCAACAGCGUAUCAAAUUGGCCACCUCUUGCCAGUGACGCAUGCUCUCACAUCAAUCAUGGACUCGUGGAGUCAGCCAUGUGGAUGAAUCUUCAGGUUCUGAAUCGUCAGAAUCCAGGCCAUCUGAUCAGACAUUGAGGGCUCAGAUUAACCACCGCUACCGCCUGUCACGCUCAAAGAGGAGUCAUUUUUACAGGAUUUGGAUGAUCCCCAUGUCUGAUGCUGACUUGUCGUAUAUGCACACUUACUUAACUCUCAAGGCUGUGGAAGGCCGAGCCAGCCGAUAUAAUAUGAUAGUGCAUUAUUUUCUGUGUGGAGAUUCAGUCAUUCAGUGUACUGUGAUAGUGGGUGGAAUUUUCUUGUUUGUAUCCUUUCAGAGUUUUGUUAGUGAGAAGCUAAAAGGAACUCCCAGUGACAUGGAAAAUAUGAGUCCAUUUCUGGAGCGACGCAAUGCAUCCUAAUCAACACAGUGGCUUCCUGACGCAAAGAGGGACGAGAAGCCACAAAAGCCACUAAAGGUGAGCCUCGGGAUGCCAAGCUCCCUUGCAAUGUCGCCGGUCCACCAGUGCAUCAUGUCAGAUAUGAUGCAGCUAGGAGGCGAGCGCUGCUGCUCACGGAGGUAUGCCAUGAGCGGCUCCUGAAGCGCGGCACAGGUCUCCAUGAAGUUCAGGAACAAAUUCUUUGAUUGGAUCAUGUCGAGGUUCUCGCACCCGUCUGGUAGGCCGAACUCCGCUGUCGGGAAGUGGAGCUCCACGAGCUGAACCGCCAGGCCCGCCGCCUUCACGUCAGCGGUGAAGCCCUCCAACCUAGCGGCGUUGACGGGCGUGGUGAUGAAGCUGACCUGCAUGCCAUGCUCUGCCAGCAGGCGUGCCAUGUCGGUCAUGGGGAUGGUAUGGCCCUGAGCCAUCAUCGGUACCAGCACGAAGUGCGCCCUCGCGGAGCCACUCUGGCCAUCGCCGCUGCCGGCGAAGGUCAUGGCUGAUCGGCCGUGGCAGCAAAAGUGCGAGCGGAGUCUGUCAAGUUGGGAGGACUUGGAAGCCGUGCAAUGGCAACCGUAAUGUAUAUACAGCAGCACCUGGUGCUAUAUCUUCCUAAGUUGAGCUGACGAGCUGACAAUCGAAUGGGUGCAGCGCAGCAGCAGCGUUUCAACUUGGUCACCUCUUACUAGUGAUGCAUGCUCUCACGUCAGUCAUGGACUCCUAGUCAGCCAUGUGGAUGAAUCUUCUUCACUUCUGAACCAUCAGAAAGGGGGCAUCCAGGCGGUUCGAUCAGAUAUCGGAUGGCGCAGAUUAGCCCCCGCUACUGCCGAAAGAGGAGUCAUUUUUAUAUGAUUUGGACGCCAUUCAAUGCACUGACUUUGCUGCCCGGAUGGUCUUCAGGUCUGAUGCUGACUUGCCGUAUAUGCAUGGUGCUGCUCAACUCUCAAAGCUGUGGAAGGCCUUUGUAAGUGAGAAGCUUCUGCAGAGAAAAGAACCCCCAUCGAUUUGGAAAAUACGAGUCCAUUUUUUGAGUGACGCCAAUGGAGGCAAUGCAUCGUAUUCAACACUGGUAUAGACUUGCUGUCGCAAAGAGGUAUUCCUUUUCCGUUUUGUUUCGCUGUCUGUCCUCGCUCCUCAGCGCAUCAUCAUGCACACAAAACCAAAUAAACACACUCUUAUCUAAAAAAUGCUCCUAGUUUAGUACUCCUAACAAAUAACCUGUGGCGAUUAGCAAUGAAACAAGGUUUGUUAUUAUCUGAUUUUAUUGGAUGAUACUCUAAACUCUGGUGGAGCACGACCCGGAGAGUGUGUCGUUUUAUAUGACGGGCUCCAGGGAGCCCAUUUUUGAAGAAGAAAAAUCAAAAUAUAUUUAAAAGAAAAAAAUUCUACAACUACAUAUACAGAUUCUGUAAGUACUGCUUCCGUAAAGAAAUAUAAAAGCAUUUAGAUUACUAAAGUAGUGAUGUAAACGCUCUUAUAUUUCUUUACAGAGGGAGUAUCUGCGAGGUUUCAUUAAAUAAUACUCCCUCAGUUCCUAAAUAUUUGUCUUUUUAGAGAUUCAAAUGGACUACCACAUACGGAUGUAUAUAGACAUAUUUUAGAGGUGUAGAUUCACUCAUUUUGCUCCGUAUGUAGUCAUUUGUUGAAAUCUCUAGAAAGACAAAUAUUUAGGAACGGAGGGAGUACAAUUAUUUGCAGGCUACUGAAAAAAGACAAAAAACUGGCCGAAAUACAUCAAAGAAAAAGCACAUUUAAUCCAUGUAUGUCUUUUGUUGUACAUCACAUAUAUGUACAUAAAUUUCAUACAUAUAUCGGAAAGGUGCGACGGCACCCGGGUGUCUCGGCACCCUGUAAUCGCGUCCAUCCACUAUGUAUGAGGAUUCGUGCUGGUAAAUGUACAUGUGCAGACGUGUUUCAACAGUAGAGUAAUUAGGACAGAUGUUUCAAGGGGACAAAGAGCGACGGGAGCUGGCAGUCAUCCAGAGAAAGGCGUUGCAGGGCUAGCAUGUCAAGAAUCCUUUGUCGGUCCACGAGACGGAUGAAAUGACAACAUACAGCCGCUGCAUGCACCCGUUCGUUUCAGAAGAGAUUCUCGUUCGCCACGUGUUGUUCAGCCUGCUUACUCCAUUCUCAUUUUGGUCUCUCCUUUCCGCCUGGUCAAUGCAACUGUUUUUGGUAGUACAAAUGUUCCUAGUAGGACUGAAAGAAGUAACCGAAAAACUUCGAGAGCCUUUGAAAAACACCGUUUUUUUCCGUUUUCAAUAACUGGGGCUAUUGAAGUUACCGUUAAGAGCAUCUGCAACAAGGGACCAAUUUUUUUGGAUACCGAAAUCCAUUUUUUAAUGAAGAGAGGUAAAUUACUGAGAUUAACAAGGCAAGUACUAGGCUAUAGCAGGGAAUUGUAGCCUUGUAGGCAUCCAGGAGGUCACGGAUAUCACCGGGAUAGGCAUGUCAGGACUACGGGCGGGCCAUCCUUGAAAGGACAAGGCAUAGAGGUGCAUGCGCUUAAUGAGGUACCGAUUCUGCCAAUGCAUCUGUUAGCUACAGUAUGACUCACAAAUCUCGAGGCACCAUAUUCUGAAUGAAUGGUCAGAUAGGAGGGUGCCUGGACACCCGGGAACUGAAAAUCCACUCUCUACAUAUAUACUACACAUAUAUGUGUGUAUAUUUGUUUCAGUUUUUUUAGAUGUAGAAAAUGUAUUUUCGCUGAGAAAAAAGAAGAGCCCCUAGAGCCUGACCAUAUGCACUUUUCUGAUGAUCUGAAUCACUAUCAUCAGCUGCCUGACACAUUGAAGGGCAAUAUGGGUGCUCUGAGGUGUGGUCGCCGCAUGCCACAACAAGGCUGAAGGGGCACGCACGAAUUCUGAUGUGGUUGGAUGGUGGAUUCAUCCGGUAGAACCGGCUCCACUAGGAUUUCAUUUCGAAGAAAAACAUAGCAUAUUAUUUGUUCAUACACAAGACACCUCACAC